CCUACAUAAAACCAAACCUUUAAUCCAUUAAAUAUAUCACUGGCAGAAGGCCAAUAUGCUUCUGCACUGAACUGACACUUUAACCCAAUAAACUUUGCUCCUACUUGUAACUAAAACAUUACCCCUUAAACAGGUCACUGGCAUUAGGUAAUUUUGCUCCUACAUGGGAGUGACUCUUUAACGCAUUAAAUGGGUCACUGGCAUAAGGUCAC